GCCAUCUUCACUAGUUGGUGAUAUAUCAACAGUUCUUUAUGCUGAUUUUAUAGGAAAGGUGUUUGGUCUUAAUCUCCAGAUCAAGAAAACAUUAGAAUCUGAGACACGUCCUUUGUCUCCUGUGGCAAUCACCAAAGCAGGGAAACUCAGUGGACCAUUUUUUGAGACGAUGUUAACAAAGGAGUGUCUGGAGGAGUUAAAAACUGAUGGAUGCUUCAUUCGCUUAUUAGCCAGAAGAAUUUCCCCAA